rnacentral:rRNA from 1 species
AUUGAACGCUGGCGGCAGGCCUAACACAUGCAAGUCGAACGGCAGCGGGGGAUAGCUUGCUAUCCUGCCGGCGAGUGGCGGACGGGUGAGUAAUGCAUGGGGAGCUGCCCAAUCGAGGGGGAUAACAACUGGAAACGGUUGCUAAUACCGCAUACGCCCCGCGGGGGAAAGGUGGGGACCUUCGGGCCUACCGCGAUUGGAUGCACCCAUGUGGGAUUAGCUAGUUGGUGAGGUAACGGCUCACCAAGGCGACGAUCUCUAGCUGGACUGAGAGGAUGACCAGCCACACUGGAACUGAGACACGGUCCAGACUCCUACGGGAGGCAGCAGUGGGGAAUAUUGGACAAUGGGGGAAACCCUGAUGCAGCCAUGCCGCGUGUGUGAAGAAGGCCUUCGGGUUGUAAAGCACUUUCAGUGGGGAGGAAGGGCUGAUGACUAAUAUUCAUCAGCAUUGACGUUACCCACAGAAGAAGCACCGGCUAACUCCGUGCCAGCAGCCGCAGUAAUAC